UGCGAACAGUCUACUCUAACGCAGUAAUGCCGACCAGCUCCAACCGGGUGCCGCCAAAUCGAACCCUGGUUCGAAUUCCGUACGGCCGUGGCCGCGGAAAGAAACAAAAGAAGGUGGAGGAAGAGGAGGAGGAGGAGGAGGAAGAAGAGGAUGAGGAGGAGGACGGGAUGAAGAGAAGAGGAUAACGAUAACGAAGACAACGGCAACGGCGAAGAUAACGACGACGACGAACACGACGGGGAAGGUGAAUAAAAAGAAGUCACGAAGGUGGAAGAGGAAGAAGAAGAAAAAGGAAAUAGCAGUGCACGCUUACGUAUGCCCAUUACGGAGGACAAAUAAAACGGAGGUUUUAGCUCCAUUUCAAACAGUACGACGAUGUAAACAAUAAGGCAACAACAAGAUCGAGGAUACACUUGCUUUACUACAUCAUCCUCUUUGAUGCCAUUCUUUAGACUUUGAAUGUCGUAAGAAGAGCGAGCAAGAAUGAGAGAGAAACAGGGGAAACGCUGAGAGAGCAACAUCGCGAAAAAAAAUCAUCAAUAAUAGGAACAAAAGUAAUCAGGAAUUUCAACAACCAGGUCAGAGAAUAUACGGAAUUCAUAAAAAAAAAACGCUACGAAAUUUACGAAGUGUGUCAACUAUAAUCAUCGAAAUGACAUAUUUCGAUCUAACGGUACAGCUCGGCAACCGUUUCGUCAUUUUCUUUUAAACUUUAACGCAUUUUUCAAGGACCAACGAAUCUUCACGCAACGGAGACAUUACGCAUCAUCAUAGAUAAUCGCUUCACAACAACUACGAGGCAUACAUAUCUGUUCAUCGUUCUCGCGAGAGCAGUUUUUGCGCGAGUACACGGACGCGUCCCACCGGAUAGGAAAGAGACUAGAUACUGCGAUAGAAACUAGAAGUUCAAGCUGCAACUUUAAGUCCCUUGUGAAUAAUCGCUGGCGAUUUCCUAGAGGCGAAAAUCUCUACAUUCAUAACGGCGCGUGGUAGUCGACCGAUGACUGCCGCAGCCAGCCAAAGAUUGCAGAAAAUCCGCCCAAGCGACGAGAUAAAUUCUCUCGCGUGUGCCUCGUGGACGUGCAAAACAAAUUAAAAGAAAGGGGUAUAGAAAGAACGAGAAAGAGAAAGGGGAAAAAAUAAAAAAAUACAAGAACGGCGCUUAAAAGUACGAGAGGUGGUCGCCUGAGCACGCUGAUAAACGCUGAGUAAUGGGGACGCAAAUUACGUGCGAGGAAUACUGCGUGAGAAAUGAGUGCCCGAUGCAAAUUCUGCUGGCCGCUAGGACGAUGCAGCGACCGAUACUGCCGGAUACUGUAACUCUGUCUAAACGAUUCACCACGACCACGUGGACCGAGGAUAGGCCCACGAAGCAAACCGGCCGUCCAUCGUCUCCGUGACGAUCCGAGAGGAUGUACGUAAUCCCAGGAGGAAUUAACCAAUUAGUACUGGCGGUAGAGGAUUUGCGCUAAGUUAAUACAACGAUGAGUAUCAAUACAACGGAGAUCACGGAAUAGAUUACGUUACUCGCCAACAACGAUAGCUCUCAACUCUGUCCUCGUUAUGGACCAAGAUACAUAAUCCGCAGGAUACUACAACGCGUUAUAUCAUUCAUGAAGCAUAUACGAAAUUUUAGACGGAUUAUUCCUUAGCAACUCAAUGGCUUUUAACCUUGGUUUCACGAUGCAACAGCGUGGCGAUAUUAGGUCUGUAUAGACUACGUGAUAUCACGAGUCAAAACAAACUUUGCAAUACUACAAACAUGUAUAGUCUUCUCAAUAGGGAGUGACUCGGCAAGUAAAGUGUCUGUUCGGUCUCUCCGGCAUCAAUUACACCUCACUUCCCGGAUUUGUUCCUGGGAUUGACGCAGGCAGACUCUUCGCCGACGAAGUGACUGUGCGAUUAUUCGAGGAACAUACGUUCGGCUUUAAACGGAGGAAAUGGCUUCGUGCCGUGUUGCUCUCGAGAUCCAGCGUAU